GGAAUUUCUAUCGGAAAAAAUACUGAAAAAUAAAAAUGGAGGGGAAUUCUGCUUGGCAUUAGUGUUCUUUGAUCUCAUUGUUUAGUUGGGAAUUUCUGAAAAUUUCAAACCUUACACUUGGUGAAAAUGGCCUGGGCUUUUGGGUUCUGAAGCCUAGUUUUAAGCUUGUUGGAAUCCCGUUUCAUUGUUGAUAUCUUGCUAGAUUACUGCUGCUGCUCUUUGCUGAUUCUUCACUUCUUUGUUUCUUUUUUCACUUCCAGGUAUCAUUCUGCACUUUGAUUAAUUUGUGAAGUGUGAAUGUGCAAUGGAACAUGGACACAUUGUGGAAGAUUUAUGUAAUUGGACUUUUGAUUCCCUGCUAUUCCAGUUCAUUCAAUCGUUGUAUUAGUUUAAUGUUAUGAGAAACUUAUUAGUUUUCUAUGUAGUAUAAGAUUUAUAGUUGAUUUCCUGUUUGAUUAUGUUGAAGUUUCUGAAUGUUGGACACUGUAAUAGUGGCAUGACAUGUUUUGUUUAUUGCUUGUAUUGAGGUUUUGAUUCAAGGCUUAAAGCCCAACAUACUAAUUUAUAAUUUGGCAUGGGAAUUUGAAUAGGAUAAAAGGCUGAGUAAUACUAGCUUGUAUUGAAACAAAUGAUUUUCUUAGGCAUGUGAUUUGAUCUUAUAUCCCCUUUAAAGCUUAUUGGUUCACUUGAUAUUUGUCAGGUAUUGUGCUUAGUCAAUAGGUUUCAAACGGUCCCUUCAAGAGUUUUAAAGUGUUCGAAUAAAGGAUGUUCUGAAUUUUAUGCAUUUUGUAUUUCAAUUAGUUCAUGUCGUCCUUGCUUAUAUUAAUGUUUACCAUGUUAUUUUUAAGUUUGGAUCCUAUGGAGCUUUGUUUAAGACCCAAAGUCCCUGGAGCUUAAGAUGGUUUGGCUCCGCAGAGAUUCGAUCUUUGGCAAAUACGUGCGAGCAUCCCUCCCUUUAUUGAAUUUGGGCUCAAUGGGAAGAUGGCACACUUUUACUAUAGUUGUGUUUGUCCCGA
rnacentral:lncRNA from 1 species